AUACGGAGGGUGCAAGCGUUACUCGGAAUCACUGGGCGUAAAGCGCGCGCAGGCGGUCUUUUAAGUUGGAUGUGAAAGCCUACGGCUCAACCGUAGAACUGCAUCCAAAACUAUUAGACUAGAGUGUGGGAGAGGAAGACGGAAUUAGUUGUGUAGGGGUAAAAUCCGUAGAGAUAACUAGGAAUACCAAAAGCGAAGGCAAUCUUCUGGAACACUACUGACGCUGAGGCGCGAAAGCGUGGGGAGCAAACAGGAGUAGAAACCCUAGUAGUCC
rnacentral:rRNA from 1 species